rnacentral:rRNA from 1 species
UGCAGUCGAGCGAGACCUUCGGGUCUAGCGGCGGACGGGUUAGUAACGCGUGGGAACGUGCCCUUCUCUGCGGAAUAGCCACUGGAAACGGUGAGUAAUACCGCAUACGCCCUUCGGGGGAAAGAUUUAUCGGAGAAGGAUCGGCCCGCGUUAGAUUAGAUAGUUGGUGGGGUAACGGCCUACCAAGUCUACGAUCUAUAGCUGGUCUUAGAGGAUGAUCAGCAACACUGGGACUGAGACACGGCCCAGACUCCUACGGGAGGCAGCAGUGGGGAAUCUUAGACAAUGGGCGCAAGCCUGAUCUAGCCAUGCCGCGUGUGUGAUGAAGGUCUUAGGAUCGUAAAGUACUUUCGCCAGGGAUGAUAAUGACAGUACCUGGUAAAGAAACCCCGGCUAACUCCGUGCCAGCAGCCGCGGUAA